GAUUGUUUAGUUUAAGAAAAACCAGUGUUUUGAAAACACUAGAUAAGAAGAAGUUCUUAACAAUCU
rnacentral:tRNA from 1 species